rnacentral:tRNA from 1 species
GAAGGUAUAGCUUAGUGGCAGAGUACUUGUUUAGCAUGCAUGAAGUCUUGGGUUCAAUCUCCAGUACCUCCA